GGUGGGUAGCUGGAUCAGGAAGUGUAUGGAUGGGUAGCUGGAUCAGGAAGUGUAUGGAUGGGUAUGCUGGAUCAGGAAGUGUGUGGGUGGGUACUUCCACGGCGCCAGACCAGGCCUGCUGGAGAGACAGGCUGCAAGGCCCACCCCAUCUCACCUCAACCGAAAACUACACCACCUGUAGCUUUGUACCAGAGGCUUAUCAUCAUCACCUGUAGUGUGUGUGUUUGUGUGUGUGUGAACUUCAUAACACCUCAUUAAGAGUUGAGUGCUCUUUAGUGCUGAGGGCUCAGUCAGGUGUAUUCUACAACCAUCGUUUUAGUUACGCCAGGAUAAGUGUGAUUUCCCCAUUCAUUCCUCUUCUAUUUUACCAGGAAGACUCCGAUUUCAGUACAGACGGCUCAUGGUUUGUUUAGCUGGCAAGCCGUGUCCACACCAGAGAGUAAUUAUGCGGUAAGGGCACAGUGGUGUGUCCACUUUAAAAAAAAUACGCUGCAGGUGGCAGAAGGUUGGCACACAUAAAACACACACACAGUAGUACAGUGAAUGAAACAGCUGCCCUGGAGAUUAGGGCAUGUCUGAAUUAUGGGUAAACUGGCAGGUUUCAUCAACGACUGCUGUGUUGACAUGGAACAAGAUGUCCAGAUUAAGUACCCCCUCACCACUCCUUCUCCCCAUCCUCUCUCUCCGACACCCCAACCGUCCUUCCCCUCCCACACCCUACCCCUCCCUCUCCCCCUCACCCCAAAACGCCCCCCCCCCCUCCUCCCUCCUCUCCUCCUCACCCACCUCACACCAUAACUUCUUUCCUCGCCUCCAUCAACCCAAAACUUCCCUCCCUCCUCCCCUUCUUCCUCACCUCAACCCAAAACAUCCCUCCUCUCCUCCCUCCUCUCCUCCUCACCCAAUAACCUCUCUCCUCCCCUCCAUCAACCCAAAACUUCCCUCCAUCCUCCCCUCCUUCACCACCUCACCCCAAAACUUCCCUCCUCACCUAUCUCCCUCCUCACCUCCCUCACCCCACCACUUCUAACAGGUUUUUCUGUGCCUGGAAACAUUACCAUAAUGAGCUAUGAGCCAUUCCAAAGCACUCAGCUUCUCUGAAGGUUUUUCAUUGUAUUAAUUAAGUCUAUUGCUCUGCGCUCGCUCCCUCAUCCCCAUGUUCCUGGAGGUAUGAACCCACUGAACCUACCUGGGAUGAGGAUUUGUUUCACUCCAAUCUCUUCCGUUUUUUCUUCAUAAUCCAGAAAUCACAGAGUGAUGCCAGCUUAUAACUGAAAGCCUGUGAAAAACAGUGGAAUUUUGUAAGAGAUUUUUUAAAUCAUGUGAGAUUUACUGCCAGUGUUGUAGGUGUAUGUGUUGUACAUGGUGUAAUGUUGCUGUUCCUUUCUCACGUAUGGCCUUUUCUCGUGUGUGUGCGUGCGUGCAUGCAUGCGUGUACGUGUGUGCACAAGUGUGUGUGUGCGCACUGCCAUCAGAGAGCUGCUCCCUUACUUCAUGGCGUAGACAGCAGACCCUGGUGAUAAAGACUAUGACAAGUUUUAAGUUGCUGGAGCAGGCCGAGACUCCACAGGACUUACAGUGCAAGUGCAGCAAAUGGUUCAGAGGGUUGGAUUCUUUGGAAUUCUAGUCUGCGCCUCUAUUACCAAUCCAACGUUUGACCUGGCAGAUAGAUAUAACAUGGUUCCCUUUUGGACCUUUUUUUGGAGCAACGCUAAUUGGGAAAGCCAUAGCCAAAAUGCACAUUCAG